AGUGAACGCUGGCGGUAGGCCUAACACAUGCAAGUCGAACGGCAGCACAGUAAGAGCUUGCUCUUACGGGUGGCGAGUGGCGGACGGGUGAGGAAUACAUCGGAAUCUACUUUUUCGUGGGGGAUAACGUAGGGAAACUUACGCUAAUACCGCAUACGACCUACGGGUGAAAUCAGGGGAUCUUCGGACCUUGCGCGAUUGAAUGAGCCGAUGUCGCAUUAGCUAGUUGGCGGGGUAAAGGCCCACCAAGGCGACGAUCCGUAGCUGGUCUGAGAGGAUGAUCAGCCACACUGGAACUGAGACACGGUCCAGACUCCUACGGGAGGCAGCAGUGGGGAAUAUUGGACAAUGGGCGCAAGCCUGAUCCAGCCAUACCGCGUGGGUGAAGAAGGCCUUCGGGUUGUAAAGCCCUUUUGUUGGGAAAGAAAAGCAGCAGGUUAAUACCCCGAUGUUCUGACGGUACCCAAAGAAUAAGCACCGGCUAACUUCGUG
rnacentral:rRNA from 1 species